rnacentral:lncRNA from 1 species
AUGUGCCCAGCUGCUGUCUGGUCACGUGGAGGCUGUUUUGGGUCCAAAAUGUCCCUUUUAUGCUUCAGGAUGCCAUUUGGGGUUGGAGGAGGAUGGGGAUUUCAGCUCUCCAGCUUGAAUUGCUCGGCUUGGAGAGCACAAAUGGGGAAUUGCACAUUUCUCCCAUCAUCAAAUCUCCGGUCAAGGUAUGGUUACAGGUACAUCUUUGAUAAAAAAAUUCCAGCAGAAAGCAGCACCAGAUCCCGAAGCAAAGAGUUGCCCACAGUGUCUUUAAUUAAUUUGGAGGGUGUCCAUGACGUGAUUCAGGACAUGAUCCCUGACCCUUUUUCCCCGUGUGCUCCCACAGAGGCAGCUGGUUGUUAUACAUUCAUACCCUUGCCAGACAGGGCUGGAAAAAGGUGUCAGUGCCCAGUUAUAACCUAAAUUAUAGCAGCGAAACUACGGUCCCUGUAUAUCCCACUCAUCCAGCCCCCUGAGAAGUGAAAUCCAAGCAACUGUUGCUCUUUUUCCCCCAAAAUAAGACAACGCACCACGCCGUCUUGGGGCCAUGGAAAGCACACGUGGCUGGGAAGAUAUUUGCUGCUGCUCCACUAAAAAAAACACAUCGAAUGCAAAUGUGGGCACGCUGGAUAUUAAAAAUUCAGCAUGCUGUGGGGCUCUUAGAGCCACUUAGAUCUCCCUGUGACCCUUUGUCUUGAUUUUCUGGGAGCAUGCAGGCCACCUGGGACUGAUGGCAGCAUGGUGUGGGGCGGUGAAGCUGAGCACCGAGGAGUUUGAUGGCUGCGGAGACGAGCUCUGACUGCCUUGCCUGGGAGGAUGGGUGUCCCGUGGGAUCCCAGCUGAGUUCUGCCUCCUGUGACAGCAGAAAUCCCCACCAAGGGCAAACCAUUUCCGCAGCUCCAACUUUCUGCUUUUAUUCUUUUCUCAUAGCCAUUUCUGAGACGUGUUGAGAGGGAGACAAAGCUUGAAAAUUGCACUUGAAGGUGGGGAUUCACAAAAAGGAGCUUAAAUAAGGCAGGGACUCUAAGAUGCUGGUAGAGGGCUCAGAGGCUGAAGUGAGGAUGAAGGACUGGGAGAAGGCUGCGCUUGGCCAGGCUGGAGCUCAAAGGCAGAAGCUGAUAUGAUGCAAAUGCAGAGAUUGCAAUGCUCAUAAAGUGGUGUUGGAAGCCAAGAGACAUGACCACAAGGUUCAUGGUUAAGGUGGUGGAGAUGUGGGUACCAUCCUCUGAGCCACCACACAGCAUGUCCCCAAAUCCAGACAGGGGCUUGGGCAGUCAAAAGGCACCAGCAGCUCUGAGCCAAGUUUUAUGCACGUCAGGUCUCCAUCUGUGCAGGAUUAAACCCCCGUGCCAUCGACACUUCUUAGGAAAAACCCAGGAGAGGUAUCCCAACCUCAGCACACGCUGGAAUGGAAGCAAAAUUCUGGGCUGCUAAAACAAGCAAGCAGCAAAACCCAUGAUGCCAAAAGCCCAGCAGAAAAUGACAGCUUGUUAGAUGAAAUUCACCGAGGUGCUAGGAAAGAAAAAUAAAGCAAAAACAGUGCUCCGGGGCCUUAAGACG